AGUAAAACUGAUAUGAAAAAA
rnacentral:piRNA from 1 species